rnacentral:rRNA from 1 species
UACAGAGGUUGCAAGCGUUAAUCGGAAUUACUGGGCGUAAAGCGUGCGCAGGCGGCUUUGCAAGACAGAUGUGAAAUCCCCGGGCUCAACCUGGGAACUGCAUUUGUGACUGCAAGGCUAGAGUACGGUAGAGGGGGAUGGAAUUCCGCGUGUAGCAGUGAAAUGCGUAGAUAUGCGGAGGAACACCGAUGGCGAAGGCAAUCCCCUGGACCUGUACUGACGCUCAUGCACGAAAGCGUGGGGAGCAAACAGG